rnacentral:rRNA from 1 species
GUCUACGCCAUGCUACCCUGAACACACCCGAUCCUGUCUGAUCUUGGAAGCUAAGCAGGGUCGGGCCUGGUUAGCACUUGGAGGGGAGACCACCCAGGAGGACCAGGUGCCGUAAGCA